UGGGGAAUCUUGCGCAAUGGGCGAAAGCCUGACGCAGCGACGCCGCGUGAGGGAAGAAGGCCUUCGGGUUGUAAACCUCUUUCAGGAGGGACGAAGCUACUCGGGUUAAUAGCCCAGAGGGUGACGGUACCUCCAGAAGAAGCCCCGGCUAACUACGUGCCAGCAGCCGCGGUAAUACGUAGGGGGCAAGCGUUGUCCGGAUUUACUGGGCGUAAAGCGCGUGUAGGCGGCCGAGCAGGUCUGUUGUGAAAACUGGAGGCUCAACCUUCAGACGUCGACAGAAACCGCCCGGCUAGAGUCCGGAAGAGGAGAGUGGAAUUCCUGGUGUAGCGGUGAAAUGCGCAGAUAUCAGGAAGAACACCAAUGGCGAAGGCAGCUCUCUGGGACGGUACUGACGCUGAGACGCGAAAGCGUGGGGAGCGAACAGG
rnacentral:rRNA from 1 species